rnacentral:rRNA from 1 species
UUAAGUCAGGCAACAAGCGAGACCCACGCCCACAGUUGCCAGCGUACUCUCCGGAGUGACGGGUACACUGUGGGGACCGCCGCUGCUAAAGCGGAGGAAGGAAUGGGCAACGGUAGGUCAGCAUGCCCCGAAUUAUCCGGGCUACACGCGGGCUACAAUGGGUGGGACAAUGGGUAUCGACACCGAAAGGUGAAGGCAAUCUCCUAAACCCACUCUUAGUUCGGAUUGUGGGCUGCAACUCGCCCACAUGAAGCUGGAAUCCGUAGUAAUCGUGUCUCAAAAUGGCACGGUGAAUAUGUCCCUGCUCCUUGCACA